AGAGAGAGAGAGAGAGAGAGAAUGUGUUACAAAACUCCACCCUGAUAAAUGUAAUUAGCCGUACUAAUUACGCAUUUACAUCAAUUAUGGCAACACUCUAAAACAAAGCCACUAAAAUCCAUCCACAUGUUACAACCAAAAAAUUCCUUCGAUCCCCAACGAAAGGAACAACAGCCUCAGGUACAUUAGCAUUCAUUCUACUACUGCAAAAGGUUCCCGCCAAAUGCCAAAACCCACCAUCACAGGCUUUGAGUGCAUGUGAUCGAAUUUGAUCUCCUUGAUGCCAUCUGAGAAACCAUUUCCAUGAAGAACAGAAAACACUUCAGUUCAUUUGGACUUCAAAUUUGCCUUUAGUUUUCUCAACUCUUGCCCUUGUUGCUUGUACAAUUUUGUCCAUUCCAAAUCUACUCUUUCUUGCAACAAGCGCCAAUCCAUGGCCAUAUCAUACUCUAUCGUAUUGGGCUGAGAGCAAUGUGAAGUAGAGACUGCUUCUUUCAUCUCCCGUUGCAUUUGGAGUCUAAGUUUAUCGAUAUAGAUAUGACCAAAAAAUGUUGACGGCUUUCCAGGUAAUCUAAGAGUUGCAAUGCUGCCAACCAGAGGCCUCCCAUUUGAUAGCAAAAGGCAACUUUCAUCUAAUUUCGUAAGAGCAAUUUUAGCGGCUUCACUUGUUUUGAAUAUAACAAAAGCUUGACCAGAAUGUGGGCUAGAAAAUGCAGUUCGUUGAAUCAUCUUUGCUGUGCAGUUUUCCUUGAAAGCAUGCCAAACAAUAUCCUCCACUUCUGCCGAAGUAUAAGAAGGAUCCAAAUUUUGAAGCAAGACAAGCCUUCCUUCUGCAUGUGCAUUUUGCAUUCUUUCCUCCCAAGGAGGUCUCUUAAACCAUUUGCUUUUAUCAGCUUCUGGU
rnacentral:misc_RNA from 1 species